rnacentral:rRNA from 1 species
UACGUAGGGGGCAAGCGUUGUCCGGAUUUAUUGGGCGUAAAGAGCGUGUAGGCGGCCAUACAGGUCCGUUGUGAAAACUGGAGGCUUAACCUCCAGACGUCGAUGGAAACCGUAUGGCUAGAGUCCGGAAGAGGAGAGUGGAAUUCCUGGUGUAGCGGUGAAAUGCGCAGAUAUCAGGAAGAACACCCGUGGCGAAGGCGGCUCUCUGGGACGGUACUGACGCUGAGGCGCGAAAGCCAGGGGAGCGAACGGG